UUAACUGGGUUCUCUUUAUCUACUUUUAGGACUUGUGUGAAAACCUGAUGAUGUUUUAGGUCAUAUUUAUGCAGAAAUAUAGAAAAUUCUAAAGGGUUCACAAACUUUCAAGUACCACUGUGACAUUGAGACAGCCUAUCAGUAAUCACUAGGGUCACGUCACGUCCAUAGACUGGAUAAAAUCAAGUUCAAUGAUUUCUCAGCAGCAUUAUUUGAACACGAUCAGUUGAUGGCAGAAUGUUAGGAGGCGGUUCUUCUGAGGAGUGCACGCACCCAUGGCUAUACCUAGAACCCAUGUUUCAGAAAGGAUUAAAGAUUCAUUUUGUUUUAAAUGUUUGUUUUUGCCCUGUGAUGACCUGGCGACUUGUCCAGGGUGUACCCCACCUUUCGCCCGUAGUCAGCUGGGAUAGGCUCCAGCUUGCCUGCGACCCUGUAGAACAGGAUAAAGCAGCUAGAGAUGAUGAGAUGAGAUGAGAUGUUUGCUUUUUUUUUUGCCUGAAGCAAACCACAUCAUGGCCUACAAAAACUCGCCGUCCAACCUGAGGAAACAUAUUGAGUGCUUGCAGAGGACCACUCCACCACCGGAUCCAGCAUCGAACAUCAUCAGGAGGAACCACUUCGCAUUUUCGGCCCCUUCUCCUCUAUUGUAUUCUGAAGUGGCAGGCCCCUCCAACUGGAAGGGUUCAUAUGAUGCUGGUGUCAACUGCUAGUUCUCAAACCAAGACAAAUCAUCUCUUUUCAGCUAAAUCCAAUGAGAGGCUUUUUCAGUUGUCUGCUGUAGAUCAGUGGAGUAGAAGCAUUUGUGAAACAAGUUGACAAAUUUCUUUUCAAUGUACCCACAUACACCAACAGCCAAAUGGUGGUACUGAAUCUUCCAUCCUUGUUCUUCACACUCUUCUACCAGUUCUUCAUAUCUGUUCUCUUUUCUCUCUUCUGCUGCAACAAAGUUGUCUUCCCAGGGCACAGUUAGUUCUAAGAUUAUGCCCUCUUUCUUCUCUUCACACCAUACCACAGCGUCAGGUCUUUGACGUGUUUGGACCAUUGGAAAAACCAAGAAAUUAUCCAGAUUUAGUGUCACUUUCCAGUUUCCACGCCAUCUCUCAUCUAUCUCCUGUGACUUGCUGUGACUAUUUGCAGUACCCAAGCACCCAGCUUUUUGGAAAUUCAUUCACUUUAUCUUCACUUUGGGAAGCUUGCCGCUGUUAAACUGAUUAAUUUUCUUCUGCAGUACUUUUUCUAUAACUUUCAGCACUUCAUUGUGACACCAAGUGUAUCUUUCCAGUGCAAGCUUAGACAGAAUGUGUUUGAGUGUUCCUUUCUCUCCACAUCUACAUCUGUUAUCAUUGUCUUGCUUCCAGCGGACUCAGUUGACUGGGGAUGGCAUUGCAUCGUAUGUUGAGCUAGCAAUAACAUUGCAAUAGUGAUGCAGUCUGGUUAGUCAAAUGACUUUCUAUGGAUUUGCCCGCCAAGUUGCCAUUGCCUUGUCCACAGCUAAUGGUUACACACAGCUAGUUUUGUUUUGAUGUCAGAUUAUGGUCUUGCAUUUUUUUUUGUCUUGCUUAAAGCAGUGUUGCUGUUGGGCAGUUAUUAAGCUAGAGUUGCAGACCUGGGAUUUAAGCAGGUUGGAUUGUCUUUUUUUUUCUGAGCAAGCUUCAUUUACAGCUAUACCACUAGUGUUGCCACCUGUCCCGGUUUUUCCUGAUUGUCCCGGAUUUUCAUGGUCUGUCCCGGAAAAAAAAAAAAAAAAUCCGGGACACUGAAUGUCCCGGUUUUUUGUACAUGAUGGGCAAAAUGUGUAUUUCAACUUGCGAGCCAGCUGAGAACCAGUCUGCUUUUCCAUAGCUCGCCUGUGCUAAGCGCCACUAAGCGGAGCCACGUCAACACGUCGCUGAAUACGUCAUUACGUCGCUGUAUACGUCACUUACGUCGCUGUAUACAUCAGUUACGGCGCUACGUUUACAUAAACCUUGGCGCGAAUAUCAAAGCAAAAACACGGAAGAAGCAGCAGUAACAACAACAAUAAUAAUAAUAAUGGAUGACUUCGCGUUUGUACAGCUGCUGCUUCUCGGCGCUUAAAAAUGGCGAUCUUUCGCGGUCUUGUUAUUGUUGUUGGUCUUAACAACUCCGCCCCCCCCGCUGACAUAAGCGGUUCUUUCCUCUGGCCCAGCAGAGAGUUGGUGCUAGCCUGGAACCGGCUUGGACUGAUAAAAGAAACAGACUCUCUGUUGCAAUGGUGAAGGCUGAGCUUCAAGUCAGGCUAAACUUUCAGUUGUCCUGUACUGAGUUCAAGACAUUCAUUGAAAAUCAGCCAGGACUCAUAGCAGCAGCAAAGAAAAACACCAAAUAUAAAUGGAAGAUUAGCCAAGAGCAGCAGAGGCAUAGGCAAGCACAAGCAAAGCACACACCACACUCUAAGCAAUCAGGUAAGCUGUUUGACACCACACCUUACAUUGUUACAUUCAGGUAUUCUUAGAUACAAUGAAAAAUUAGAUUAUUUAUUUUUAUUCCACAUAAGCAAACAAACAGAACUUAAUUAUGUAUUCCCCUUUUACCUGUGCCCACUACUGCCCCCAGGUGUCCACAACCAAAAAUUGUUGGAAAUAAACCAAAAUACUGAAGACCUAGCCUAGUAAACUAGACCCACCCGCCUAGCGGCCAAAAAUAUUUUUGCCUAGCGAAUGGGUCUAGCCUCGCACCAUGUAAACAAAAACACUCCGGGCAUCAAAUCGUGCCCGCCAAUCACAACGCAAGGUUUUUGUUUGGAUUCUUUGGGUGGGCUUUUGCAGGAGUGAUGACAAAGCUGCGUGACGCUGGAGAAAGCGCAGCAGGAAAGAUGGCUACGGCUAGUGAACAGCGCGCGUUUGACUCCGCUUUGGAAUCAGUUUUAGAAGAAUUAGACUUGGAGUUUUCGUUGAAACAUGGGCAGGAAGAGGCUCUCCGCUCAUUCCUUUUCAAGAAGGACGUUUUCGCUGUUUUGCCGACUGGCUAUGGCAAAAGUCUGAUCUACCAGCUGGCUCUGCUCGUAGCCAAAAGGAUGGGGCUAGUUUGUGCAGUACGAAAAAUUAAUAAACAGCUUUGAAACAUUACUUUUUGAUUGUUUCUUAUUUUCCCGUUAUUUUAAAUUUAAGGGAAAUUAUUUCACCAAACACCACUAAAUAAAAACUCUCAAAAACAGUUUAAGCAAACCCUUGAAAAACACUUGGGGAAAAAAAUGAGUGUAUGUUAAGUAUGUGGUACAGACUCCAAACUUGUGGUCAUUAUCUCCAAACUUCUAAAUAUUUAGAACCUGUUUAUUAAUUAAUACGCAUUUUGAAAAAUUAUUUAUUUCAAGGUCUCCCCCACUGCUUUCUGUCGCUCUGACUACGUCACAGUCACUGUUGCGCUGAUUGGUCAGAGCGUUGGCCUAUACGCACAGAGACAGUUUGAAAGACAGCGGUUUGUUCCUCCUACCCGCUUCGGAAAUGUCUACGGAUCGAGGCCAGACUAAAUAUUCACAUUUAGUCUGGCUUGCCAGGCUAAUGAAGACCUGCUAUAUUAUGUAAAGCAAUUAACUAAACAAAUAACUAGCAAAAGCGUCAUUUUUACUAAUUAGAGCAAUACAAUUUCAGCAUAGAAGGGCGAUUUUUGUCUUGGGUUAGAUGUGCGAAGGGCACUGUUGCUUACAAGCAAAAAGGUCGAUUGGAUGGUCGAAAUGUCCAGGAUUUUUGUCAGACACAGGUGGCAACCCUAUAUACCACUCUCUUCCUGAUUAACAUACACAUACUCUACAUGUGUGCACACAUUGCCAGAGCUGGGUCAGAACACUACCAUGCUGCUUUGUAGGGGUGGGGAG